rnacentral:rRNA from 1 species
UACAGAGGGUGCAAGCGUUGUUCGGAAUUAUUGGGCGUAAAGGGCGCGUAGGCGGUGCGGUAAGUCUCUUGUGAAAUCUCCGGGCUCAACUCGGAGCCUGCAAGGGAAACUGCCGUGCUUGAGUGUGGGAGAGGUGAGUGGAAUUCCCGGUGUAGCGGUGAAAUGCGUAGAGAUCAGGAAGAACACCCAUGGCGAAGGCAGCAUACUGGGCCUGUACUGACGCUGAGACGCGAAAGCGUGGGGAGCAAACGGG